GAUGCCCUUCAGCCACUCGCUCACAGACACACACUGAGACAGAGAUGGACGCCGGUCCAGCAACAACCUAACAAACAAACAAACAAACAAAUAAAAGAGCAGUUUCCAUUCAUCAUCCAGCAGAGAUCUAAUUAAAACCACAAGACAGAAAUGUGACAGAAUUCUCAAUCAGCAGCUGACUAUACUGAUGGGCGUGGCCUAAUAUUCUAAUGAGUAUACAUGAUUGACAGCUCUCUCUAGGUUAGCUUUCACUUGUUCGUUUAAUGUGCUCUCAUUAAAUUAGCUUUUCUAUUUCCGGAGACUUUACGGAAAGCACUCACAUUCUUGAGAAUUUUUACUUAUUUAGAUGUAAAUCAAAAUAAGUUUCACACACACACACACACACACACACACACCCCUCUGAGACAAUGUUUAGGAUGUUCUCCUGUGACAGGACAUUCCAACAUUCCAGAGUGGGUUAUUCCAAUGACACACACACGCAAACACACACAGACACACACACACACACACACAGACACACACACACAGAAACACAUACACACACACACACACACACACACAUUAAUUUGCAUCUCCUCCACUGGGUGCGGUGUGAUUUGAAAGAACGUCAUUCUGCGUGUCCCUAUUGUUUGACCACUGGGACAUUCCACUGUGACAUGAGUGGGGGGUGGAUCUCGAGUGACAGAUUUAGUGAAGAGCAUUUAGAAGAGCGUUAGAUGUUUUCCUACAAAUGAUCAUCAACCCCUUUCCAAAGUGGUAGCAGAGCAGGAAGCGUGUGUGUCCGUGCACAAGCUCUUCAUGGUGACCUGGAUGAGUUUAGAUGGAGCGCUCCACCCAGACCAAGGCAGCAGGAGGGGGAAAGUUCAGGAUGCAGCAGUGAAGAGUCCCUCAUCCUGCUGUGCUUUCUGAGAGAGAGGGAGAGAGAGAGAGAGAGAGAGUGAAUGAAAGAUAGAAAUCUUUGAAGUCCUGUGAGUAUUACAGCUGAGACGAAUUAGAGAAAACGAUCUUACCGGAAACAAAACACGGCAACAGUUACUAUGGCGAUGAGGAUGAGGAGUCCCAUAGCAACCAGCACGCCAGUCACUAUCAUGCGAGUGUGAGACUCUGCAUCUGAGAGACGGAGAGAAAGAAAACUGGAAUUAACAAAGAUGUUUUUGUUGCACAAGGUGAGUGUGUGUGUGUGUGUGUGUGUGUGUGUACCAUCAGGCAGUGUUCUGACUGUAGUCAGGCGGCUGAACUGUCCAUAUCCGGCGCUGGUUCUGGCUCGGACCUGAACUUUGUACUGAGACGAGCGAGACAAAUUCGGCAGAACCACCGAGCUCUGCUUACUGCUGACGUACUGCCAAACCUCAUCCUCACCCUGCGCAUGCGCACACACACACACACACACACACACACACACACACACAGCCUUGUGAGAACCUGAUUAUUGUAACAAGUUACAAAUGUGC